GGGGAUUUAGCUCAGUGGUAGAGCGCUUGCCUAGCAAGCGCAAGCCCCUGGGUUCGGUUCCCAGCUCCCA
rfam:Rattus norvegicus chromosome 2, whole genome shotgun sequence.